UCCCAGCGGUCCAAGUCGCAUCCACUAUUAUUGGGUCUAAAACAUCCGUAGCUUGCUUUGUAAGUCUCUUGUGAAAUUGGGCAUCUCAAGUGUCCAGCGUGCAAGAGAUACUGCUUGGCUAGAGACCGGGAGACGUAAGGAGUACGAACAGGGUAGCGGUAAAAUGCGUUGAUCCUGUUUGGACUAACGACAGCGAAGGCACCUUACGAGAACGGAUCUGACAGUGAGGGAUGAAGGCUAGGGGC
rnacentral:rRNA from 1 species